rnacentral:lncRNA from 10 species
UUGUGGAUUACUGUACACGUGGGCAGUGCUUCUUAGACAGUGGCUUCACACGGGAAUGAGCAGGCUGAAAAGCAGCAUUACCAGGGGAAACCCCCAGUGACAGCAUCCGCAGGGUUCCACUGAAGGACCAACCUCCACACAGGUAGGUAGCUGAGGCAGGGUUGAACAGAAGCAGUGGAAUUGCAGAGCAUCCCCGGAGCUUGUCCCUCCAGUACAAGCAGCAGAUCGA